rnacentral:rRNA from 1 species
UACGUAGGGGGCAAGCGUUGUCCGGAUUUAUUGGGCGUAAAGAGCGUGUAGGCGGCCAGGUAGGUCCGUUGUGAAAACUCGAGGCUCAACCUCGAGACGCCGAUGGAAACCACCUGGCUAGAGUCCGGAAGAGGAGAGUGGAAUUCCUGGUGUAGCGGUGAAAUGCGCAGAUAUCAGGAAGAACACCGAUGGCGAAGGCAGCCAUCUGGACCGACACUGACGCUGAGGCGCGAAAGCGUGGGGAGCAAACAGG